rnacentral:rRNA from 1 species
GACGAACGCUGGCGGCGUGCCUAAUACAUGCAAGUAGGACGCAGUUGCGAACGUGUGAGUAACGCGUAGGUAACUGCCUAUUAGAGGGGGAUAACUAUUGGAAACGAUAGCUAAUACCGCAUACUAGUAGAUGGACCUGCGUUGUAUUAGCUAGUAGGUAGGGUAAUGGCCUACCUAGGCAACGGUACAUAGCCGACCUGGGAGGGUGGACGGCCACACUGGGACUGAGACACGGCCCAGACUCCUACGGGAAGCAGCAGUAGGGAAACUUCGGCAAUGGGGGGAACCCUGACCGAGCAAAGCCGCGGGAGUGAAGAAAGUUUUCGGAGCGUAAAGCUAUGUUGUUAAGGAAGCGGUACUUAACCAGAAAGGGACGGCUAACUACGUGCCAGCAGCCGCGGUAAUUC